GACGAACGCUGGCGGCGUGCUUAACACAUGCAAGUCGAACGGUGAACCAGAGCUUGCUCUGGGGAUCAGUGGCGAACGGGUGAGUAACACGUGGGCAACCUGCCCAGACUCUGGGAUAACCUCGGGAAACCGAUGCUAAUACCGGAUACGACCACUUCGGACAUCCGACGGUGGUGGAAAGUUUUUCGGUCUGGGAUGGGCCCGCGGCCUAUCAGCUAGUUGGUGGGGUAAUGGCCUACCAAGGCGACGACGGGUAGCCGGCCUGAGAGGGCGACCGGCCACACUGGAACUGAGACACGGUCCAGACUCCUACGGGAGGCAGCAGUGGGGAAUAUUGCACAAUGGGCGAAAGCCUGAUGCAGCGACGCCGCG
rnacentral:rRNA from 1 species